AAAAGGGAACAGAAGAGAGAAACUUUAUAAAGAAGAAAUGUCUAGGAUGAAAUCUGCAGCAUUUCCAGCUUCCACGAAGACAUAUUUUAUCAGAUCCGAGAACAAAUAGAAUUCUUUUACCCGCUGAAUAUGGUACGCUCCGCAGGAGGACGAAACAAGAAGGAGGGGCUCUUCACGUGACUGAAAUUCAGAAUCAUGUGAUCCUGAAGGUUCCCCUGCCGGCUCUCUAGCCAACUGUGAGUGGAACUUCUUAGGAGGUGAGGAACAUCCCAGUUACUGAAGACUCUAGCUUCCUGGGAGUGUACUGACAGAAUAAAAGAAGGAAAAGGGUUGCAGAUGAGAAUUCUAGCCUCAAGAUACACACCUAUGGGCAUAAUCAUACAAGAUGAGGGAGUUACAUGGAUCACCGAAAGAUAUAGCUGCCCUGUCCAAAUUAAUCCAGAGCAUGAAGAUAAAGAAAAGACUUUCCCAAGAGGAAUCGAGCAGCAUGGCUCCUGAAAAUGCCCUGGUAGGGGCACACCUUAAAUUGGGAGAAGAAUAAAACAAAACCUUCUGGGAUAUUAUACAAAGCCUAUCUUGGGCUCCACCACUACCUGCUAUCUACUACCGUUUUCUCUCGAGCCCCGCCCUCCUCAACUCCAGCCCCUCAAAGUCUGCUCCCACGAUUCCUGGCAAACGCUAUCUGGUCUAACCCCAAAAGAGUUUCAAUAAUUCAUUGCCCAUAUUGGCCUCCUUCACAUUCCAGGUGGUCACGUGGGGCCUGCAAUAAAGGAAGUAAACCAAGCCGA